rnacentral:rRNA from 1 species
AUUGAACGCUGGCGGCAUGCCUUACACAUGCAAGUCGAACGGUAACAGGUCUUCGGAUGCUGACGAGUGGCGAACGGGUGAGUAAUACAUCGGAACGUGCCUAGUAGUGGGGGAUAACUACUCGAAAGAGUGGCUAAUACCGCAUGAGAUCUACGGAUGAAAGCAGGGGAUCGCAAGACCUUGUGCUACUAGAGCGGCCGAUGGCAGAUUAGGUAGUUGGUGGGAUAAAAGCUUACCAAGCCGACGAUCUGUAGCUGGUCUGAGAGGACGAUCAGCCACACUGGGACUGAGACACGGCCCAGACUCCUACGGGAGGCAGCAGUGGGGAAUUUUGGACAAUGGGCGCAAGCAUGAUCCAGCAAUGCCGCGUGCAGGAUGAAGGCCUUCGGGUUGUAAACUGCUUUUGUACGGAACGAAAAGCCCCGGGUUAAUACCCUGGGAUCAUGACGGUACCGUAAGAAUAAGCACCGGCUAACUACGUGCCAGCCGCCGCCGUAA